AAAAACAAAAAACGAGAAUUUUACUUGCUCCUUUAUUGUCAUAUGUUUUUGGAGAAAACUUCCAUUUAAAGUGUGUUGAGUAUACCAGGCCUGCUUCCGAGAUAAUAUAUUCGGGGAUAUGCACUAGACACCUCAUUAUCUUGCCUUAGACCUUGGCUGAAGCUGAAAGCCCUCUGGCGGCGAAAACCGAUUCUACGGAGCCCGAGAACUGUUCUGUGGAAAGGAGCUGCCCCAUUUCAUGAUGCCUCUGAGGGGACAGUCAGCAUUUCUUGACUGGCUAAUGUGGGGGUACAUAAGCCUGAUCCCCUUGCCUCAACUCAAAGACAACUGAAAGACAUCCCAACUCCUGAGCUCCCUAUAGAAUCUGCUGAAGCUUACUUGGCAACUCUCACCGUCAACUUCUCAACCUGACCAAUCCUGGUUUUUUCAUGCCUUUACUUUUGUUCUUCCAAGAGCUCUUGCUAAUAAACCUCUUGAGGUCACAACUCCACCUCACCUCUGUUUUUCAGGUAGUUUAACUUAAAAUACAGGGUCAAUGGUUUUCCCUAAACAGCACACUAACCUAGAGCCUUGCUACUAAAAUGUGGUCCAUGGAUGAGCAGCAUUGGCAUCUCCUGGAAAUAGAAAAGAAGUGACUUCAGCCCCACCUCAGACCUGCUGAAUCAGAAUCUGCAUAAGAUUUCUAGGUGAUUUGUCAGUUCAAAGACAAUGGCCUAAACUAAAAAAUGUUUUAUACCCUGGCUUUUCAAGUGGGAAAUCAAGUGUUUUGUUGUGCUUUAUUACAUGCAAGUUAAACAAAAAAUGGAGAGCAUCCAGAGGAGGACCUCGAGGAGCUGACUAGACCAUUUGUCUUUCAAGCCUUGAGUUUUCUUUCUCUUUAGAUUGGCUUGUAGGGGGUUCUGAGAUCCAAAAGAGUAAGCUAGGACUCGUGCCAGCUCUCAAAUAACUGAUAAAAAAAAAAAGUCAAAUAUGCAGACAGUGAUCACCUACAGAGACUUGCAGCAGGAAAUGUAAGUGGUGUAUUUUUAUGACCAUACUGGAGAAUGAGUUCAAACAACCUGGGUUUGAAUUCCAGUUCUACCACUUAAUUAUGGAUACUUCUAGCCAGUACAGAGUUAGAAGUCUUAGCCUUCAGGAAAAUUUGACAGCUGGGUGAGAAGCUGAAAGGUAGAACUCUUUUACCAUCUAUGCAACACAAUACUUAGAAAUUAUUACCCUGGAUCUUUCACAUGUGUUCUUUCUCCCUGCUUCUUAGAAAGACAAAGGCCUUCUGUGUUGAACUUUACCUCCAGAUGCUUAGUACCAGCCUUCCUGAAAGACUCAGGGGAAGAUAAGAAAUGAAUGGCAAUGGAGCCAGCAGAUGAGACAUCUUCAUACAUUUGAAACUGGCCUGGUGACUAAGGCAGUGAAAGUGACUUGAGGAUAUUAGACACCUGGUCCAUUGCCCUAUGAUGUCAAUGUGUGACCUGUUGUUCCACUUUCCAUGAGCAGAGACAACUCUGCAUGGAUUCUGUUCCUCUGCACUGCAUAUUAGCAGAAGUGGCUGUUAAGUAAAGAUAGUAGCUUCAUAGCACAGGAAGAAAGUGGGCAAAAAGAAACAUAUUGGAUAUCUCACAUUCAGAAUAAAGUAUAUACCUACAGCAAUACUUGUAUAAAGCAAUAUGAGAUCUUAUCUAAUUGGAAAUAUAUCUAGGAAAGAGUCCCUAGGAAAAGUUACUUAGGAAAGCAUUUAUUCACCUUUAUUCAUUUAUUAACCUCUUAGCAAAAUUAUUAGUGGUGUUACUGCCUUGUCAUUUGCAAAACCUACAUUACACUGCUAUCUAAGAAGCUCCAUCAAGGAUAAGAGAGUGAAGGAACUAGAUUUAUUGGAUGUAAUAUGCCAGGCCUUAAUCCUUGCAACAUACCUAUGAAAUGUAUAUUAUCCCCAUUUUACAAAUAAGAAAGCUGAGUUUAAAGAGGUUAAGAAAAAUGUAUAUCUGAAGCCAUUAAAUGGCAGCAUGAGAUUCCAAUUGGAUCUGCCUGCCCCCCAAA